rnacentral:lncRNA from 1 species
GAGAGUGUGUCUCCAGAUGCGUGUCUACUGCUGAGUUGCAGGGGAAACCAGCAAGCAUGGUGAUCCGUGCCCCUGCCCACCUCUCCUCUAAGACCUGGCACUGCCCAUCCACCUGGACGACUUCCUGCUUUUCAGAUAUCAGAAUGCAGGUGUGCCUGGCAACCUCCGAAAAUCCCUCACGCCAAUGUUACAGCUGCAUCUACAAGACUCCUGCUCAGAAGGCUCUUCUGUGCCAAGGGGAGCCUGCCAUGUCGCAAAGGGCGUCAGCUCCAUUCCUCCUUGGCUGGAACCACUGCCGGAUGGGGUGGAAGAACCUGCGGUCCCUUCCCAGACACACCCCACCUACUCAGCCUUCUCUGGGUCAAGGCCAGAGCAGACAUCAGUCUCCGAGAGCAGCAGGCUGUGGGAAUGCAGAGGCGGGUACUUCAACUUACAGAGCAGAGCCUCCACGCACUUGAUCUUUCACGAAGUCCCCUUUCCCUGGACCCCGAUCUCUGUCCUUCUCCAUCCCCCAUCCUGUCCCUGCAGCCCUCUUCUUGGGGUCCCUAGUCCAGCCUUCUCCUUCUCGUUACAGUGGAGACACCAGCCUCCCCACAGAACAGGUGGAGUGGUACAACUGCAUCCUUUUCUCUCAGCACAACCCGAGUGGACAUCGACACGUUCAGAUUUAGCAGAGAUUCUUUUUUUCGCCAGUAUCGGGAUUUGCCUGUGUGAGUGGCUUUAAAAGGAGGAAACCAGAGAGUGUUCCAUAAGAGGGAUUGAGUUCAGUAUGUGAAGCACCUGCCAAACAGCAAAAAAUGAGAGUGAUGAUGGGGUUCUUAGUCCCAAAGAACGCAAUUCACUCCAGUGGAGUUAAAGCAGCCAAGGGGCUUAAUAGUAAAAGAUAGCUCAGAAAAUACACAAGAGAGACAGAGAAUUAAGCUUGCAUUCUGGGAUAGAGCACAAGAGCUCCAGUGGAAACCCCAUCUCAGCAGCCCUCACGGCUGUGCUUGGCAGUGGGAUGCUCGCCUUGGGAGCCCCAUUCCUGUGGCCUCUGAAAGCAGGAUGUCUCUCCACCCUUUCGACAGACUCGAUUUCACACAGCACCUUCUUCCUUCCAG